rnacentral:lncRNA from 1 species
UAUGGUAUAAUCAAUACACACUGUUCCGGAUGCACUAACUCUGUGUCCAGUUUAGGUUCACUUGAAAUUUUCAUCAUCUUACCUAUAGAUUCAGAAUUUGGUCAAUUCAUGAAAGUUUUAGAUCUUUGUCUCAGCUUUCAUUUGGUAUAUCUUAGGCCUAAUUUCAAUAAAAACACAAUAAGUUAUGAACUUGUUAACAUAAACUGCCCUGUUAAAACCUAUUCUGCCAGAUUUGCACUUUUAGCUCUCAUGUUAAAUUUCUUUACUCUAAGCCUUUCAAACAUCAUUUUAACAUUUAUAUAACAUAUUUAUACAAUCAAAGCGACAUUUCCAGCAAGUAAAAUCAACCUCUAAU